rnacentral:tRNA from 1 species
AGCCGUUUAGCUUAAUGGUAGAGCACUCAGCCAGUAUCUAAGAAGUAUAGGUUUGAUUCCCGUAGCUGCCU